rnacentral:rRNA from 1 species
AGCUCCAAUAGCGUAUAUUAAAGUUGUUGCAGUUAAAAAGCUCGUAGUUGAAUUUCUGCUGAAGAUAACCGGUCCGCUUUUCAAGUGGUAUCUUGGUGUGGCUUCAGCAUCAUCCUGGAGAACGUUAUCUGUACUUGAUUGUGCGGAGCGGUAUCCAGGACUUUUACUUUGAGAAAAUUAGAGUGUUUCAAGCAGGCUAACGUCUUGAAUACUGCAGCAUGGAAUAAUAAGAUAGGAUUUCGGUUCUACUUUAUUGGUUUUAGGAACUGAAUUAAUGAUUAAUAGGGACAGUUGGGGGCAUUCGUAUUUAACUGUCAGAGGUGAAAUUCUUAGAUUUGUUAAAGACGAACUACUGCGAAAGCAUUUGCCAAAGAUGUUUUCA